CUCUCUCUCUCUCUCACACACAGACCUGAGAAAGAGAGGAACAACACAGGGGAGGUAGAGAAACGAAGAAAAGAACCUCAUCUUUCCGCUAAAAAGGCCUUCUUUCGAUUCCAUUGAUCUUACCCCUUUUCUCUUCUUUGCCUUCUUUACGAUUUCCUCGACGCAAUUUGCACCAACUGGUGAAAUUUUCAAGUGGGGUAACCCUUAAAUUGUUUUUUGAGAUCUUGAUCGAUUCUUUGCUUUGGAUUAGUG
rnacentral:misc_RNA from 1 species